CCCUUAGAUAUCCUGGGCUGCACGCGCGCUACACUGAUGCAUGCAGCAAGUAUUUCCUUGACCGAGAGGUGUGGGUAAUCUUUGAAAUUGCAUCGUGGUGGGGCUUGACGAUUGUAAUUGUUCGUCACCAACGAGGAAUUCCUAGUAAGCGCAAGUCAUCAGCUUGCAUUGAUUACGUCCCUGCCCUUUGUACACACCGCCCGUCGCUCCUACCGAUUGAGCGUUCCGAUGAGUUGUCAGGAUUUGUUGUCGGAUCGGUGACGGUUUGAUAAUGGAGAAUUUCUGCAAGUCGAUGCGCUUAGAGGAAGGAGAAGUCGUAACA
rnacentral:rRNA from 1 species